GGCACGGUGGCAUAGUGGUUAGCACUGUUGCCUCCCAAGAAGGAGGUUCCGGGUUUGAAUCCGGGUCCGACUG
rnacentral:tRNA from 1 species